CUUGCCACAAGCGCCGCCUGCAGUGGGGAGGAUGGAUGGUGGCGCCAUCUUGGGGAGGGUGAGGUACACUCCCGGGUCUUCACAGUGAAGACAAAAGUGAAUUAGUAGAACAGGAGAAAAUAGAAGUACGGGUUGAAGGCCUAUGCCGGGCACUGUUGCUUUUCACAUACCAGUUAGUAAAUUCUCAAAAAGUCAUGUGAGGGCCAGGGAUUUAGCUCAGGUUGCCGCCUGCCUCUCAAGCAUAAGGACCCGAGUUGGAUCCCUCGUACAAAAAAAAAAAAAAAUUCUUACCUCAUGUGAGGUAAGAAUUGUUAUGUUAACCUUAGUGGUUAACAUAUAAUGCUUAUUCUGGGUCAUGUCACCUCUUUAGGCUCCUAGGAACAUGCACUGAAGAAGACAGCUUCCUGGGUUGGAAUGAGUGCUUCCCUACUUACUAGCCGGGGUUUUGCUGAGGCAUCUGGGACAGACAGUGCUGCUGUAGCCAUCUUGUGCUUAUAAGGAAAAAGCCUGUCCAAGAACGGAGUCCACUUGAAUUGAAGACAGUGGAGAAGACAGACACAGAGUACUCUCCAGCACAGCCAGCAAGUCCUGAGCAGAAUGGUGCCUCUCCCUCUGAGCCCAAAGAUGCUGGAAAGCGGAGGGACCGAGUCUGCAGAGGAGACCACGCCCAGGCACUUGGGGACACUGCAGCUGGGGUAGGAAGCAGAGAUCCGGGACAGCUUGAGCAGCACAUCAGCACAGAGUGGCCUAGCUUGCAGCCCAGACUUAGGUGCUUCGGGACAGAAGGCUCCUCCUGUUUCCACUUAAGGCUCAUGAGCCUCCCCUUCCCCACCAUCUGAGAGUGGACACCUCUGAGAGCCCUAUUUCCAAGAGAGGAGGCCCCAAGAGGCUGAGUGGCUGCUCCACGGUCACAGAGCUUGUUGUUGUUGUGUGUGUGUGUGUGUGUGUGUGUGUGUGUGUGUGUGU